GCGGAUAUGACGAAAUGGUAGACGUAUCAGAUUUAGGAUCUGGUGGGGAGACCCGUGGGGGUUCAAGUCCCUCUAUCCGUA
rnacentral:tRNA from 1 species